rnacentral:tRNA from 1 species
AGGCACGUAGCUCAGUGGGAGAGCAUCGCCUUGACGUGGCGAGGGUCGCUGGUUCAAUCCCUGCCGUGCCUA